rnacentral:rRNA from 1 species
CCAGACUCCUACGGGAGGCAGCAGUGGGGAAUAUUGCACAAUGGGGGAAACCCUGAUGCAGCGACGCCGCGUGAGUGAUGAAGUAUUUCGGUAUGUAAAGCUCUAUUAGCAGGGAAGAUAAUGACGGUACCUGACUAAGAAGCUCCGGCUAAAUACGUGCCAGCAGCCGCGGUAAUACGUAUGGAGCAAGCGUUAUCCGGAUUUACUGGGUGUAAAGGGAGCGUAGACGGCGAUACAAGUCUGAAGUGAAAGCCCGGGGCUCAACCCCGGGACUGCUUUGGAAACUGUGUUGCUGGAGUGCUGGAGAGGCAAGCGGAAUUCCUAGUGUAGCGGUGAAAUGCGUAGAUAUUAGGAAGAACACCAGUGGCGAAGGCGGCUUGCUGGACAGUAACUGACGUUGAGGCUCGAAAGCGUGGGGAGCAAACAGGAUUAGAUACCCCUGUAU